CUGGCCAGGCGAGCCCCUGUCAGCGCGCUGGAAAGGCGCACGGCGCGAGGAGUGACCCCCAGGACAGGAGAGCACGGCCGCCUCCUGCUUCUGGGGAGCCUUCAGCUUCCCUUCUUAAUCUUCCUUAUCCCUGGGCUGGAGACUUUCCUGAUCCCGACUUCUCCCCCCCCCCCCUUAUUUUUUGGAAGCUGCUAGUAAGUGAAGUAGUCUGAGCUUCUUUUAUUGUUCUUUCGCCUCCCCACUCUCACAAGCAGGGGAGAAACCAGUGCAAUAGGCGCCGGCGGGAAAGGGGGGAGGGGGGGGAAUGAAUCGGAGCUGAAACAGCCACGCACUCUUUAAGAAGGUGGCGGUUUUAAAAGCAUCUGAGAGUCACCGUGGGGCUCAUCCACGCUAAUAGGUUUGCUCCAGGGAGAGAAAGAGCCCAUCGGCUUCCCUCGGCACACAGAGAAGUCCUGCCCAAAAGUUACAUCAGCAGGCGGGAGCCCUUCGGCAAUGCAGGGUGAUGAAAGUGUGCCCAGACUUGGAGCACAGCGCAACCCACGAGCAGGUCCCAGCAAUCUCCUCUACGCUGACUUUCAUGUACUGGAAACAGCAGCGGAUUUGUUUUUCUUCCACCCAGAGCAGGCUAAAACACACACACUCCACCCAAACAAAGGGAACAAUCUUUACCUGUCACCUCUCCCCCCAAACUCUCUCUCUCUCUCUCUCACACGCACACACCCCCAAGCAAAAGGGACAAUCUUUACGUGCCAUCUCUCCCCCCAAACGCACACUCUCUCCCUCCGUCUCACACACACCCUCCACGCAAGCAAAGGGGACAAUCUCUACCUGUCACCUUACUUCCCAAACUCUCUCACAAACGCGCACGCAAAGGGGGACAAUCUCAACCUGUCACCUAUGCCCCCAAAGUCUCUCUCAUCCCGCCCUCCCGAGGAAAGGAGAGAAUCUCCUCCUGUCACUUCUCCCCCAAAACACUCUCUCUCUCUCUCUCACACACACACACACACCCCUGUGCCUGUCCGCUCUCCAGGGGCCCGGCCGGGCGCCUGUGCGGUGACGGUGGCGGGCCGGGGGGGUGGGGCACCCUCUGAUCCCUAGCUCUCCUAGUCUCUCCCCCCCUGUGAAUGCCCUCCCCCCACCCCCUUCUUUCUGUCAUCUUUCUUCAGAAGCGCCUCAGUUGAGCGCAGCCAUGUCUCCAGGCACCCCCAGCCUUUCCCAGAGUGCAACACCACGACCCCGAGAUCAAUGACCACAUACUGUUUACUCUUAAUCCCAGCAGGACUACAAUUGAGGCUGGCGGCUGGCUCGGCGGCGGGGCGUGCGCUUGCUGCGCGUGUGGAUGAUUUCCCCCGCUCCGCUCUCCCUUUCGGGCUGGGCUAAGCCCCACUUCGCAGACAAGCCGACUUCUGGCCGCCCGCGCACGCCACUCCCGAUGCAUUCACGGGGCGGGGGGGAGACAGAGAGAGACAUCUUCAGAUCUACACCCUGGAGCUGCGGGAGGGGAAAAGAGGCGAUCCGCGUCCUUUUUUAUUACUCAACACUUGGACUGGAAAGGAAAGACUCAGCAGAGACAUAAAAAAGGGAGAUAUGCGUUGGGACAUGCCAGGCUGGCUGGAUCAUUGCCCUACUGAUGACUUUUGUGUGUCCUCCACCUUCUGCUAGGCCUCUGACCCUGUCCAUCAUACUCUGCACCUUUGCUGAAGCAGACGGAGGAGAAAGGACAUGUGAGGAAGAAAAUCAUCAAGGUCUGCUGCAUGUAAAGAUGACAAAUCAUGUCCCUGUCAUGAACCCCAUUAUGAUUUGUGGGUUUGUGCGGUAUUGUGCAGGUUUUCUUGUCAGUUUAUUUCAUUGAUACAGUGUGUGUGAUCUCAUUGAAAAGCCCAUGUUAUGUUGUUUCCAUUUAUGUCACCUUCAUCACUGUAUAAAUUAUGUGAUGCUGUCUGAAUAUAUAUUUAUGGUUUUGGACAUGGUUUAGUUCAGAGGUUGGCAAUGUUUUUGGGCAGAAUGCCAAAAACACCCAGAACCUCAAUGUGUAAGAUGUUGGCAUGCCAGGGGUGGAUGGUGGAGGGGCUGCAAGGGGCCCAGUCCUUGUUGUGGCAGCAGAGCCCCGGCCCCUUCCCCACUAUCUGCCCUAAGGUGCAUGUGCCAAGCAAAAUGCCUUUACGUGCCACACUGGCACUUGUGCCAAAGGUUGCCUACCACUGGUUUAGUCAGAGGAACUGAGGAUGCACACUUAAGGAAAAAGAGAGUAAGUGAAACUGCUAAGUGUCUUUUGUCAUUGUGUCACUAGGGCAGAGACAACUGCUAUACCCAGUCACAAAUAAAAGGAGACAUUGGGUUGGGCUUCCAAUGGGAAAAACUGCUACAGAAAAGCAAAGGCAUCUGAGAGAAAUGGCCAGAGAGCCAGAGGAAUGCCAGAGACAGAAAUUUCUGGAGGACUCUGUGACUCAUGAGACCUGUGACUGCUAAUAAGGGGUGGGGUGUACUGACUUGGAGUUAUUGAGGAAGCUAUCUGUGGGUCUCUGGAUUUUCUCAGGCUUUGAAGGAGUCCAGGUCCCCAGCAGUCAGGGCUGGCAGAAAUCAGCAGGAAGGCCGAUCUCUAAAAACACUAGCAGGGUCCUCAAGGGGCCAGGUGGCAGACAGAUGAGAGGGUAAGAAACUUUACUUGUCUUUUUGUUCUGUCUUCAAGCUUAUGGCCAGUUUUCUUGUAUAAUUUUUUCUCCUACAUAAUAAAUCCGUUUGUUGUUUGUCUCCUUA